rnacentral:misc_RNA from 1 species
GAUGAAGAACGUAGCGAAAUGCGAUAAGUAAUGCGAAUUGCAGAAUUUCCGUGAGUCAUCGAAUCUUUGAACGCACAUUGUGCCCACUGGUAUUCCGGUGGGCAUGCCUGUUCGAGCGUCAUUAUCCUCCCUCAAACCCCGGGUUUGGUGUUGGACCGAAGUUGUGUGAACAACUGGUCUAAAAAACAAUGACGGCGUCCGUGGGACCCUCGGUGCAACGAGCUUUUAGGAGCACGCGCCGAGUUGCAAGGACCUUCCGGGCCGGUCUCCUUUUACUAUUUUACAAGGUUGACCUCGGAUCAGGUAGGAAUACCCGCUGAACUUAAGCAUAUCAAUAAGCGGAGGA